AGAGUUUGAUCCUGGCUCAGGACGAACGCUGGCGGCGCGCCUAACACAUGCAAGUCGAACGAGAGAUGAGGAGCUUGCUCUUCAGAUCGAGUGGCGAACGGGUGAGUAACGCGUGAGGAACCUGCCUCAAAGAGGGGGACAACAGUUGGAAACGACUGCUAAUACCGCAUAAGCCCACGGCUCGGCAUCGAGCAGAGGGAAAAGGAGUGAUCCGCUUUGAGAUGGCCUCGCGUCCGAUUAGCUGGUUGGUGAGGUAACGGCCCACCAAGGCGACGAUCGGUAGCCGGACUGAGAGGUUGAACGGCCACAUUGGGACUGAGACACGGCCCAGACUCCUACGGGAGGCAGCAGUGGGGAAUAUUGCACAAUGGGGGAAACCCUGAUGCAGCGACGCCGCGUGGAGGAAGAAGGUCUUCGGAUUGUAAACUCCUGUUGUUGAGGAAGAUAAUGACGGUACUCAACAAGGAAGUGACGGCUAACUACGUGCCAGCAGCCGCGGUAAAACGUAGGUCACAAGCGUUGUCCGGAAUUACUGGGUGUAAAGGGAGCGCAGGCGGGAGAACAAGUUGGAAGUGAAAUCCAUGGGCUCAACCCAUGAACUGCUUUCAAAACUGUUUUUCUUGAGUAGUGCAGAGGUAGGCGGAAUUCCCGGUGUAGCGGUGGAAUGCGUAGAUAUCGGGAGGAACACCAGUGGCGAAGGCGGCCUACUGGGCACCAACUGACGCUGAGGCUCGAAAGUGUGGGUAGCAAACAGGAUUAGAUACCCUGGUAGUCCACACCGUAAACGAUGAUUACUAGGUGUUGGAGGAUUGACCCCUUCAGUGCCGCAGUUAACACAAUAAGUAAUCCACCUGGGGAGUACGACCGCAAGGUUGAAACUCAAAGGAAUUGACGGGGGCCCGCACAA
rnacentral:rRNA from 1 species